AGAGUUUGAUCAUGGCUCAGGAUGAACGCUGGCGGCGUGCUUAACACAUGCAAGUCGAACGCUGAAGCUCCCAGCUUGCUGGGGGUGGAUGAGUGGCGAACGGGUGAGUAUCACGUGAGUAACCUGCCCUUGACUCUGGGAUAAGCCCGGGAAACUGGGUCUAAUACUGGAUAGGACUGGCCAUCGCAUGGUGGUUGGUUGAAAGCUUUUGCGGUUUUGGAUGGACUCGCGGCCUAUCAGCUUGUUGGUGGGGUAAUGGCCUACCAAGGCUUUGACGGGUAGCCGGCCUGAGAGGGUGACCGGCCACACUGGGACUGAGACACGGCCCAGACUCCUACGGGAGGCAGCAGUGGGGGAUAUUGCACAAUGGGCGCAAGCCUGAUGCAGCGACGCCGCGUGAGGGAUGACGGCCUUCGGGUUGUAAACCUCUUUCAGUUGGGAAGAAGCCUUUCGGGGUGACGGUACCUUCAGAAGAAGCACCGGCUAACUACGUGCCAGCAGCCGCGGUAAUACGUAGGGUGCGAGCGUUAUCCGGAAUUAUUGGGCGUAAAGAGCUCGUAGGCGGUUUGUCACGUCUGCUGUGAAAGCUCGGGGCUUAACUCCGAGUGUGCAGUGGGUACGGGCAGGCUGGAGUGCAGUAGGGGAGACUGGAAUUCCUGGUGUAGCGGUGAAAUGCGCAGAUAUCAGGAGGAACACCGAUGGCGAAGGCAGGUCUCUGGGCUGUUACUGAC
rnacentral:rRNA from 1 species